UGGAGACUUUCUUCAGCGAAGAUGGCUGACAAAAAUACUAGAAUGGAUUCAAAUGAAAGUGAUUCAAACGUCAUAACGAAUCAUGCAAAAAAAUGGACUCCUGAAACAACCAGCAAACCAGGCUGUCGUCUUGUGAAACAGUGAAUGUAAAGAAUCUAGCUAGCUAAAGCAUUUACUGCAAAUUGAAUGUACACAUGUUUAAGCUUGCCUUGCUGAUAUUUUCCAUGCAAUGCCUAUAGAUGAAAUAAACUAGCUAUGUUCUUGCUUAUUGUGCAGUGGAGGAUAAAAAUCCCUGUAUGCUUCUGGAUCGGCUAUCUAGCCCUUCUAUGGACACAAACGUUUGGUAUACAUAUUAGUUCAGAACCUAGCUAUGAACCUCAUAUCAUAGCCAGUUGUAUCAACUUCAAAAUAGUCUGAAUGACAUUAAUGAAGCCUAUGGAUUGAGUAGAAUAUAAUAUAGCUUGUAUAGGAUGCAACUCGUAUAUA